UUACUAGUGGAUCUUCCCCAGAUCUAUCUUCAACAUAAUCCCUUACUGCUUCACAACAUUUGGACACCUUAAGAGGAAGGAGAAAGACAACUCAUAAGAUGCAUAUGUGCGUUUUACAUAGAAGAAGAAAGAGCUGCCCCCAACUUGCCCUCCUGAAUAUUUACAGACACUGGCCACAUUCCAGGGAGGGUUCCCAGCAGAACCUGCCUUCAGCCUCAAAGGAGACAAGAUCCAGGGGUCGAACACAACUGGAGCACAAGUGAAUAUUAAUUCUCGGUGGACACAACAUCUUUUGUUGAUAUGUGGUGCUGAGGAUCAAACCCGGG